CCACCACAAAACCUAUACAUCGAAUUACUACAAAAGAAAGAGUUUAAGACAAAGCCCUAAAGGUUCAAGCUUACUGUCCAAGAGACAUGAAAAUCAUUCAUUAAAUCGAAAACAAUCUGAAGGGAUAAACAAGAUACUUCCGACAGACCGUUAGAUCCAGUUUCCAUAUUGAAAAAUAUUAACAAAAAGAGAGUUCAAUACAAAGCUAAAGGUUAUAGCUUUUAAGGUUCAAUGUAAACCCUAAAUGCCCUAAAGGACUAAAGGUUCAAGCUUUCUCUCCACGAG